rnacentral:rRNA from 1 species
GACGAACGCUGGCGGCGUGCCUAAUACAUGCAGGUUGAGCGUUGAGGAUUGUGGUUGGCACCAUUUUGAGAAGAGGCAAACGGGUGGGUAACGCGUGGGGAAUCUGCCUUUGAGCGGGGGAAAACUUUUGGAAAGGAAUGCUAAUCCGCAAUACCACCUUUAACCAUAGUUUUUAGGUUUGAAAGAUGAAAUUGCCUCACUCAAAGAUAAUCCGGCGUUUUAUUAGCUGGUUGGUGAGGUAAAGGCUCACAAAGGCGAUGAUACAUGGCCGACCUGAGAGGGUGAUCGGCCACAUUGGGACUGAGACACGGCCCAAACUCCUACGGGAGGCAGCAGUAGGGAAUCUUCGGCAAUGGACGAAAGUCUGACCGAGCAACGCCGCGUGAGUGAAGAAGGUUGUCGGAUCGUAAAACUCUGUUGGUAGAGAAGAACGUUGGUGAGAGUGGAAAGCUCAUCAAGUGACGGUAACUACCCAGAAAGGGACGGCUAACUACGUG